AGGCCCUGAGCACGUUUCACCUUAACUUUACGUUUCAUCGGGUUAUUUUCCUAAAUAAGAUGUUUUGAAAUUUACAACAAAUGGCCAAACAAGAAUCAGAAACACUGUGCUUAACUCGGAUCUGUCACUGCAGUCAAGAUAUCCGCGCUUCGCCGAAACACGGUCAAAUCAUCCGCGCUUAAAAUGUGAGGUGCACGCAUAGACAUGACAUUACGGUAUCAGCCGCACAUGACGGUUUAGGAAAUUGUAAUAUAUUGAGAGCCAGUUGAGACACAUUUGGGGAUGGCAAGAGGUUCAAUAUUAAUAACUUCUUCAGCUCCGGGUAUAACGCACAAACACUUAACCUCCCUGUGUUACCUUCUUCUACUUCCCUCCGUGCUGCCUACAACUAUUUGCUACUACUGCCCUCUACUGGUUGAAUCCAAGCUACUACAGAAAAUAACAUACUCCAAGCGAUCGCGCAUAGGAAAAUGUUGAGUACGCGUGUGUACGAAGUACAGGAUAUACUUAAAUGCAAUUAAUGUCUAACUUGCCCAUAAUGUAUGAACAAGUCAUAUGGCAUCUGAAAGGCAACGUUCAAGGCUAUUUCCUACACAAAUCUGGUCAGAUUUAAUAUACCACUUAAAAGAAUGCACUUUGAAAUCCAUAUAAUUUUAUGUUAUGAGCCAGGUUGAACAGCUCAUUUCUCAGCAUUAUCACAUAAGGUACAAACAUCUCUGCAAACACCUAAAAGGCAAGGGCCUAGGCUAUAUCUCGACCAAAUUUGGUCAAUGUUCACUGUAGCAUUUUAAAGAAAAUCCACUUUGAAAUCCAUGGGUUUACAUUACAUGCGUUGGCAUAUAUGAGCCAAGUUUGACAGGUCAUUUCUCAGGAUUUCCCCCUAAGGUACAAACAUCUCUGCAAGCACCUGAAAUGCAAGGCCAUACACCAUACCUGCACCAAAUUUGGUCAACUUUAUCUGCACCAUUUUUUAAAAAAUGUACUUUAAAUUCCAUGUUAUUUUAUGUUCUGAGCCAAGUUUGCUCAUUUCUUUGAAUUGUUACGUGCCGUAAGGUUUGGGGAGGGAUUGUCCUGAUCGUUGUCAGGCUGCCUUCGACUCCGCCUCCCGGACCUGGCCACGCCCCGAGCUUCGACGCUACUUCCGCCUUUAUGAUUGAAAAAGCCGUGGCGGGAGAGUAGCAGCAGCUCUGCUCUUGAUUUGGGAAGCUGUGGAAGAAGCGAAAGCAGGAGAGGAUCCAGGUCCUGAUCCACAUACAAUUCCCAAGACUGGGCUACAGACAACAUUGCAUAUCUGGAAUCUCUGAGAUCAGCAGUUAAUGAUCCAAACCUCGAAUGGACUUAUUACAGUCACAGUGUGCCGGACUCUGCAUUCUUCUGUAUAUCUCAGGAAAAAUGGAAGGAUUUGGGGGAAAAUCAGCCCAGAAGACAUUUCAUUGGGCUGGAAUUGGACAAAUGUUAUUUCUGCUGGCAUCUGUUCAGUUCAUCCAUGCUGCAGCUUUGGCUUCAUUCCUCAUAGUGCGAAAAGCAUCCAUUCAGGAGGACCUGCACCGCUGUUCAAAUGUGACGUUCAGCGACUGGUCAGUUACCUGCAGAGUAGUUAUGCAAAGUCAGGAGCUAAAGGCCGUGGUAGAGUUCCAUGGUGGUGUUGCACGACAAUCCCGAGAAGAACUAAGGCAUCGGUACAUCAGAGCAGGAACGACUGGGCAAAAGUCUGGAGACGAAGUUCCCAAGGUCUCUAUAUUUGGAAAGUUUACACAAACUCAGCCCUGAAGCGUUUGACUCUGGAAACCGUGAUGAGUGUCCUAGGCCAUCUGUUCAAAACAUUAUCCUGGAAUUCCAAAAGACAAACACGGUAUCAUCAACAUGAAGCUGUCAGUCUCAGCAUAAUGGUGGAAAAGAAGACCCAGUGUCCAGUGGAUGUUCUGCAGAAGGUGACCCUUCAUCCAAGAGGGGUUUUGCUCUGGUCAGGAAGAAGCUCGGAAGUACUUCACAGUCGGUCAGGAGGACAUUGCCUACAUUGAUGCAACUGGCAGCAUUGUGAAGAGGGGAAAACUGACGAAAGCUCCAUUCUAUGUGUACGAGCCUGUUGUGGGGGGGGGGACCCCCGAAAAGGGUGGCCUGCUUUUCCAGUCGGGACCUUUCUCACCUGUGACCACAUCACAGCAUCAGUACAAUAUUUCUUGGUUCAUUUCACACAGAUCACAGAAAGUUAUAUGGAAGAUUUGUGCAUCCAAAAAUGAUGCCUGAGAUGGAUCACUGGUGCUGUUG